rnacentral:rRNA from 1 species
UAGCGGCGAGCGAACGGGGAGCAGCCCAGAGUCUUAAUCAGCAUUAGCAUCAGGAGAACGGUCUGGAAAGUCCGGCAGUAAAGGGUGAUAGCCCCGUAUCCGAAGGUGUUAGUGUUGUGAACUCGACGAGUAGGGCGGGACACGUGUUAUCCUGUCUGAAUAUGGGGGGACCAUCCUCCAAGGCUAAAUACUCCUGAUUGACCGAUAGUGAACCAGUACCGUGAGGGAAAGGCGAAAAGAACCCCGGCGAGGGGAGUGAAAUAGAACCUGAAACCGUGUACGUACAAGCAGUGGGAGCCCCAUCACUCAAGUGCCUCGGCAAUUGAGUGAUGGUGUAAAACCAUCACAAUAACAGCGCAGGAUUUGCCAACAAGAUUGGCUGAUUUUUUCAAGCCGCAGCGCAGUGGACAUCGAAGUCCAUGAGCAGCGGAAGUUAAAAAAUCGGGCAAGAUUGGCCGCAAAGCCAAGCGGGACAUUUGAGGAUGGGGUGACUGCGUACCUUUUGUAUAAUGGGUCAGCGACUUAUAUUCUGUAGCAAGGUUAACCGUAUAGGGGAGCCGUAGGGAAACCGAGUCUUAACUGGGCGAAUAAGUUGCAGGGUAUAGACCCGAAACCCGGUGAUCUAGCCAUGGGCAGGUUGAAGGUUGGGUAACACUAACUGGAGGACCGAACCGACUAAUGUUGAAAAAUUAGCGGAUGACUUGUGGCUGGGGGUGAAAGGCCAAUCAAACCGGGAGAUAGCUGGUUCUCCCCGAAAGCUAUUUAGGUAGCGCCUUGUGAACUCAUCUUCGGGGGUAGAGCACUGUUUCGACUAGGGGGUCAUCCCGACUUACCAACUCGAUGCAAACUACGAAUACCGAAGAAUGUUAUCACGGGAGACACACGGCGGGUGCUAACGUUCGUCGUGAAGAGGGAAACAACCCAGACCGCCAGCUAAGGUCCCAAAGUCAUAGUUAAGUGGGAAACGAAGUGGGAAGGCUCAGACAGCCAGGAUGUUGGCUUAGAAGCAGCCAUCAUUUAAAGAAAGCGUAAUAGCUCACUGGUCGAGUCGGCCUGCGCGGAAGAUGUAACGGGG